AGGAGGGCGUCUCUUCAGGUCCUCCUCCGCGGGGGCUUCGGGUGAUAUCACAUCCUUCAGACAGGAAAUCAGGCUCUGUGGCCAGCCGGAGGACGCCACUUUCCCCCAACCUCCGCCCACUUCCACGCCCCACCCGCUUCAGUGAGUUCUCCCCUCGCCCCUUGCGUCCCAGCUGAGCAGCGCCCCGGGAGUGCGCCAUGGCCCUGCCGGUAGCCGCCUUACUCCUGCGGCUGGCCCUGCUGCUCGAUGCCGUCGCGGCGUUCCGGCCGAGCCAAUUCCGGGUGUCGCCGCGGGAUCGGACCUGGAACCUGGGCGAGUCAGUGGAGCUGCGUUGCCAGGUGCUGCUGCAAACGUCGGGAUCCAGCUGCUCGUGGCUCUACCAGCCGCCGGGCUCAGCCGCGAGCCCCACCUUCCUCCUGUAUAUCUCCCAAAGCCAACGCGGGGACAAGAAGGCCGACCAUCUGGACCCCAACCAGUUCUCGGGCAAGAACAUGGGGAACGGCUACUUCAGCCUUACCCUGAGCCGCUUCCGCGAGGAGGACCAAGGCUACUAUUUCUGCUCGGUCCUGAGCAACUCCAUACUGUACUUCAGCCCCUUCCUGCCGGUUUUCCUGCCAGCAAAGCCCACCACUACGCCAGCGCCGCGACCACCCACGCCGGCGUCCACCACCUCGUCGCAGCACAGGUCCCCGCACCCAGACGCGUGCCGGCCCGCAGCGGGCAGCGCAGUGGACACGAGGGGUCUGGACUUGGCGUGUGAUGUCUACAUCUGGGCGCCCUUGGCCGGAACCUGCGGGGUCCUUCUCCUGUCACUGGUCAUUACGAUUAUCUACAACCACAGGACCAGAAGACGUGUUUGCAAAUGUCCCAGGCCAAUGGUCAGGACGGGAGGCAAGCCAAGCCCUGCAGAGAGAUAUGUUUAACCCUGUGUGACAGCCACUACACGACGUCAAACUGAGAUUUCUCCUUAUAAGGGAAGCAAGUCUUUCUCUUCUAUUUUUUCCAGUUUUCCUUAUGUGUUCAUUCAUUCAUUCAUGUUGGUGGUGAUUAUUAUUUUAGUUGGGGUGGGGUAGGAAGGGUUACUUUUUCUUUAAAUGUUUAAAUGAAGAACAGAAUCAUGUAACAUCUCUGGUACAUUGCAAGGGCCACAAUAUUGUUGUGCACACAUAUUGGGGUAAAGGGCGGAAAGGGGCCCCCCAGAGCUACUUGAGAGUUUCGUUCUCAGAAUCAUGCUGACAGAGCUGAAGGUGGCUAGGGCAUACAGUCAGUCUGAACCUCUUCAUCAUCUAUUUUACAAGGGGAGAGGCUAAACCCCAGGAAUGGGAACAGCUUAAUUGGAGUCAUACAGCAAAUUAAGGUUGGAGCCAGAGAAACCUUACCUCCCACCUGAGGUCUACUUCCUUCACUCCGUACAUUCUUCCGAAGGCCUGUCUGUCUCUGUAUGUGUGUGUGUGAGAGAGAGAGAGACAGAGAGAGAGUGUGCGCACUUGUAUCUCAAACUCCAAAGGAACAAGUAUUUCUUGAGCACCUAUGAUACACCGAUUACUGUACCCAGAGACUAGCGGAGAUAAUGAAAUAAAACAAGAGAACUUCUGCCUUUGACAGAGUUCUGUAACAUAGAUGAACAACGUCAGACUUUUUUAUAAUCCAGUGUGAAAUUCUAUAGAUAAUAUGAAUUCCUAAAAUAAAGUAUAGGGGUGAACUGAAUCCUGGAAAAUACAUCCCUCCAUCUUUAAAGACAAUGUGAAAAAUCUUCCCUCCAUAGAGGCAAGAUUGCUCUCCCAGCCCCAGCCUUGCAGGGGGACCUGUCAAAGAGAAGAGGCUGCCCCUUUACAAAGAUAGAAUUGUUGGAGAGCUGCCAGCACGGCCCUGGCCUCCGUUUCACCAGCAGACGUGGGAAUGAUGCCGAUCUCGUGAGGAGGCCAAAAGCCAAAACUGUUUCCCCAAAUGCACAUUUCCUCUCUUACAGUGUUGCACAAGUGAAGCCUGAUUAUUGAGAGAAAAAAGCUUAAAUAGAUAAGGAAAUGAGAAUUGCCUAUAAUUCUUUAGCUCAGGUAUAAUUCCCUGUUAAUAUUAUGGUGUACAUUCUCCCUGGGUACUUUUUAUGCAUAUUAUAUAAAAUAUGUGGUUAGUUUUUAAAAAUGCGAUUGUACUAUGUCUUUAUAAGUAACUUGAAUGAAUAAACAUUUAUAGUACCCUCUUUUUA